rnacentral:rRNA from 1 species
GAAGCCGGAAUUGCUAGUAAUGGCAGGUCAGCAUACUGCCGUGAAUACGUUCCCGGGCCUUGUACACACCGCCCGUCACACCAUGAGAGUUGGGAAUACCCGAAGCCUGUGAGCCAACCGUAAGGAGGCAGCAGUCGAAGGUAGAAUCAAUGAUUGGGGUGAAGUCGUAACAAGGUACC